rnacentral:rRNA from 1 species
GAUGAACGCUAGCGGCAGGCUUAAUACAUGCAAGUCGAGGGGUAGCAAGAUUGUAGCAAUACAAUUGUUGACGACCGGCAAACGGGUGCGGAACACGUACACAACCUUCCUACAAGUGGGGAAUAGCCCAGAGAAAUUCGGAUUAAUACCCCGUAACAUAGCGAUGUGGCAUCACAUUGCUAUUAUAGUUUCGGCGCUUGUUGAUGGGUGUGCGGCUGAUUAGAUAGUUGGCGGGGUAAAGGCCCACCAAGUCUACGAUCAGUAGCUGGUGUGAGAGCAUGAUCAGCCAAACGGGCACUGGGAAACGGGCCCGACUCCUACGGGAGGCAGCAGUAAGGAAUAUUGGACAAUGGACGCAAGUCUGAUCCAGCCAUGCCGCGUGAAGGAUUAAGGUCCUCUGGAUUGUAAACUUCUUUUAUAAGGGACGAAAAAAGGUCUUUCUAGAUCGUCUGACGGUACCUUAUGAAUAAGCACCGGCUAACUCCGUGCCAGCAGCCGCCGUAACAC